rnacentral:rRNA from 1 species
CACAUGCAAGUCGAACGGUAACAGGUCUUCGGAUGCUGACGAGUGGCGAACGGGUGAGUAAUACAUCGGAACGUGCCUAGUAGUGGGGGAUAACUACUCGAAAGAGUAGCUAAUACCGCAUGAGAUCUACGGAUGAAAGCAGGGGACCUUCGGGCCUUGUGCUACUAGAGCGGCUGAUGGCAGAUUAGGUAGUUGGUGGGGUAAAGGCUUACCAAGCCUGCGAUCUGUAGCUGGUCUGAGAGGGCGACCAGCCACACUGGGACUGAGACACGGCCCAGACUCCUACGGGAGGCAGCAGUGGGGAAUUUUGGACAAUGGGCGAAAGCCUGAUCCAGCAAUGGCGCGUGCAGGAUGAAGGCCCUCGGGUUGUAAACUGCUUUUGUACGGAACGAAAAGCCUGGGGCUAAUAUCCCCGGGUCAUGACGGUACCGUAAGAAUAAGCACCGGCUAACUACGUGCCAGCAGCCGCGGUAAUACGUAGGGUGCAAGCGUUAAUCGGAAUUACUGGGCGCAAAGCGUGCGCAGGCGGUUUUGUAAGACAGUGGUGAAUCCCCGGGCUCAACCUGGGAACUGCCAUUGUGACUGCAAGGCUAGAGUGCGGCAGAGGGGGAUGGAAUUCCGCGUGUAGCAGUGAAAUGCGUAG